rnacentral:rRNA from 1 species
AUUGAACGCUGGCGGCAGGCCUAACACAUGCAAGUCGAACGGGUGGCACACGGGUGAGAAAUGUCUGGAAACCUCCCUGCUGGAGGGGGAUAACACCUGGAAACGGUGGCUAAUACCGCAUACCAUCGGGUGUGCCCAUAGGGGCUUAGCUAGUUGGUGGGGUAACGGAUGACAAAGGCGACGAUCCCUAGCUGGUCUGAGAGGAUGACGAGCCACACGGGAACUGAGACACGGUCCAGACUCCUACGGGAGGCAGCAGUGGGGAAUAUUGCACAUGGGGCGCAAGCCGGAUGCAGCCAUGGCGGGUGUAUGAAGAAGGCCUUCGGGGUGUAAAGUACUUUCAGCUGGGAGGCGUUACCCGCAGAAGAAGCACCGGCUAACUCCGUGCCAGCAGCCGCGGUAAUAC